UCUCGUCCUCUUCAGUCAGUCCCGUCUCUGCAUCGUCAUCGUCAUCGUCCUGUUUGUUCUGCAGGAACCAACCAGAGAGAGGACGAGGAGCUUAGAGAACAUCUGCAGCUUCUGGAGCAGCACAACGCAGGACGAGCAGCACUUCUUGCAGAUGCAGAAGCAGCAGGUGAGGAGCAGAAGGCCAGCAACCACGGCAAUGGCGAUGAUAGCCCAGGGUGGCACUGUGCAAAGAGGGAAAAGAGAGGGGGGAGUGUUACCCUGAAUGAAGGGCAUAUACGAGAAAGAAUUGGAGACAGCAAUCAUGGGUCAUAUAUUUUUCCAGCAUUUUUUAGAAACUUCAGAACCUUGAACCAGUGCUGCUCUGGCUGUACAUGGUUAUCCUCCACCCCACUGACAGUGUUUUGUGCAAUCCUUGCAUGGGAGUCAGGACUGUGAGGGGAAAGGGUUAAUGAGACCAAGAGAGACAGCCAGGACUGAAGGAGCUAAGGAUGGAGCUGGGAGAUGGCUAACACGAUCUGGAGCUGUCGCUUAAGGCCAGCAGAAACCCAAGCAACACUACACCGUUGUUCACGGAUUCAUUGUCUAUUCACCACUUGCAUGUUAGCACUCACUGUGGACUUAUGAUCGUGUGUGUAUCUUGUGUGUGUUUAAUAGCUGUGUUUAUUAUUUCAGGACCGUAACACACAGUUAAACAGUACAAUACACAUUGCUGUGUAUUGCCUGGGAUUAUUAUUUGCGGUCACAAACAACCGGGAUUACAAACCCUCCCCCAAAUUAAACAAUUUUUUGGAUU